rnacentral:rRNA from 1 species
CAAUAGCGUAUAUUGAAGUUGUUGCGGUUAAAAAGCUCGUCGUUGGAUUUCUGUUGAGGUCGAACAGUGCCGCCCUAUGGGUGCGCAACUGGCUCGGCUUCGGCAUCUUCUUGGAGAGCGCAUCUGCACUUAACUGUGUGGAUCGUACUUCAAGUCAGUUACUUUGAGGAAUUGUGAGUGUUUCAAGCAGGCUUACGCCGUUGAAUCCGUUAGCAUGGAAUAAUAGGAUAGGACCUCGGUUCUAUUUUGUUGGUUUUGAGAGCUGGGGCAGCGAUUGAUAGAGACGGAUGGGGGCGUCCGAACUUUACUGUCAGAGGUGAAAUUCUUAGAUCGGUCAAAGGCGAACUACUGCGAACGCAUUCGCCAAGAAUGUUUUCUUUA